rnacentral:rRNA from 1 species
AACGAACGCUGGCGGCAUGCCUAACACAUGCAAGUCGAACGAGACCUUCGGGUCUAGUGGCGCACGGGUGCGUAACGCGUGGGAACCUGCCCUUAGGUUCGGAAUAACUCCCCGAAAGGGGUGCUAAUACCGGAUAAUGUCUUCGGACCAAAGAUUUAUCGCCUUUGGAUGGGCCCGCGUUGGAUUCGCUGGUUGGUAGGGUAAAAGCCUACCAAGGCCACGAUGCAUAGCUGGUCUGAUAGGAUGACCAGCCACACUGGGACUGAGACACGGCCCAGACUCCUACGGGAGGCAGCAGUGGGGAAUAUUGGACAAUGGGCGAAAGCCUGAUCCAGCAAUGCCGCGUGAGUGAUGAAGGCCUUAGGGUUGUAAAGCUCUUUUACCCGGGAUGAUAAUGACAGUACCGGGAGAAUAAGCUCCGGCUAACUCCGUG